AUGAACAAAGCUAGUGGAGGUGAUGGAAUUCCAGUGGAGCUAUUUCAAAUCCUGAAAGAAGAUGCUGUGAAAGUGCUGCACUCAAUAUGCCAGCAAAUUUGGAAAACUCAGCAGUGGCCACAGGACUGGAAAAGGUCAGUUUUCACUCCAAUCUCAAAGAAAGGCAAUGCCAAAGAAUGCUCAAACUACCACACAAUUACACUCAUCUCACAUGAUAGUAAAGUACUGCUCAAAAUUCUCCAAGCCAGGCUUCAGCAAUACAUGAACCGUGAACUUCCUGAUGUUCAAGCUGGUUUUAGAAAAGGCAGAAGAACCAGAGAUCAAAUUGCCAACAUCUGCUGGAUCAUGGAAAAAGCAAGAGAGUUCCAGAAAAACAUCUAUUUCUGUUUUAUUGACUAUGCCAAAGCCUUUGACUGUGUGGAUCACAAUAAAAUGUGGAAAAUUCUGAAAGAGAUGGGAAUACCAGACCACUUGACCUGCCUCUUGAGAAACCUAUAUGCAGGUCAGGAAGCAACAGUUAGAACUGGAUAUGGAAUAACCGACUGGUUCCAAAUAGGAAAAGGAGUAUGUCAAGGCUGUAUAUUGUCACCCUGCUUAUUUAACUUACAUGCAAAGAACAUCAUGAGAAACGCUGGGCUGGAAGACGCACAAGCUGGAAUCAAGAUUGCUGGGAGAAAUAUCGAUAACGUCAGAUAUGCAGAUGACACCACCCUUAUGGCAGAAAGUGAAGAGGAACUCAAAAGCCUCUUGAUGAAAGUGAAAGAGGAGAGUGAAAAAGUUGGCUUAAAGCUCAACAUUCAGAAAACAAAGAUCAUGGCAUCCGGUCCCAUCACUUCAUGGGAAAUAGAUGGGGAAACAGUGGAAAGAGUGUCAGACUUUAUUUUUGGGGGCUCCAAAAUCACUGCAGAUGGUGAUUGCAGCCAUGAAAUUAAAAGACGCUUACUCCUUGGAAGGAAAGUUAUGACCAACCUAGAUAGUAUAUUGAAAAGCAGAGAUAUUACUUUGCCAACAAAGGUCCGUCUAGUCAAGGAUAUGGUUUUUCCUGUGGUCAUGUAUGAAUGUGAGAGUUGGACUGUGAAGAAGGCUGAGUGCCGAAGAAUUGAUGCUUUUGAACUGUGGUGUUGGAGAAGACUCUUGAGAGUCCCUUGGACUGCUGUUGCUGCUAAGUUGCUUCAGUCGUGUCCGACUCUCUGCGAUCCCAUAGACGGCACCCCACCAGGCCCCCCCGUCCCUGGGAUUCUCCAGGCAAGAACACUGGAGUGGGUUGCCAUUUCCUUCUCCAAAGCAUGA
rnacentral:lncRNA from 1 species